AUUGAACGCUGGCGGCAGGCUUAACACAUGCAAGUCGAGCGGGGAAGGGUAGCUUGCUACCUAACCUAGCGGCGGACGGGUGAGUAAUGCUUAGGAAUCUGCCAUUUAGUGGGGGACAACAUUCCGAAAGGAAUGCUAAUACCGCAUACGUCCUACGGGAGAAAGCAGGGGAUCUUCGGACCUUGCGCUAAAUGAUGAGCCUAAGUCGGAUUAGCUAGUUGGUGGGGUAAAGGCCUACCAAGGCGACGAUCUGUAGCGGGUCUGAGAGGAUGAUCCGCCACACUGGGACUGAGACACGGCCCAGACUCCUACUGGAGGCAGCAGUGGGGAAUAUUGGACAAUGGGCGGAAACCUGAUCCAGCCAUGCCGCGUGUGUGAAGAAGGCUUUAUGGUUGUAAAGCACUUUAAGCGAGGAGGAGGCUACUUAGAUUAAUACUCUAGGAUAGUGGACGUUACUCGCAGAAUAAGCACCGGCUAACUCUGUGCCAGCCGCCGCCGUAA
rnacentral:rRNA from 1 species